rnacentral:rRNA from 1 species
GACGAACGCUGGCGGCGUGCCUAAUACAUGCAAGUCGAGCGAAUGACGAGAAGCUUGCUUCUCUGAUUUAGCGGCGGACGGGUGAGUAACACGUGGGCAACCUGCCCUGCAGAUCGGGAUAACUCAGGGAAACCUGGGCUAAUACCGGAUAAUCCUUCGAAUCACAUGUUUUGAAGUUGAAAGUCGCUUCGGCGUCACUGUAGGAUGGGCCCGCGGUGCAUUAGCUAGUUGGUGGGGUAACGGCCUACCAAGGCAACGAUGCAUAGCCGACCUGAGAGGGUGAUCGGCCACAUUGGGACUGAGACACGGCCCAAACUCCUACGGGAGGCAGCGGUAGGGAAUCUUCCACAAUGGACGAAAGUCUGAUGGAGCAACGCCGCGUGAGUGAUGAAGGUUUUCGGAUCGUAAAACUCUGUUGUAAGGGAAGAACAAGUACGUUAGGAAAUGAACGUACCUAGACGGUACCUUAUUAGAAAGCCACGGCUAACUACGUGCCAGCCGCCGCAGUAA